AAAAUAAUUCAAAAUCAAAUACUUAGAAAUAAAAUCCACGAUAACAUAUUACACAAAUUCAAUUAUCAAAGAUAAUCAUGAUGUCUCAACCAUGAUGAUGACAAAUUUGGCAAUGAAUGAUGAUGACACAUUGGGCUUUGUGGGGUUAGGUCAAGAAAAGGGGAAGGAUAAAUGGCGGCUCAUUUUUUUUUUUUUUCCUUCCAAAAAGCAAAUGAACAAACAACUGGGAAGGUGUAAAUGAAGAAACAGAGACAAACGCAUUCAUAAGUGCCCAUCAAUUUAUCAACAAAGAAGUUGUCGAGGACAAAGCAAAACACCAAGGGGUAGAAGUGUUGGCGGCCAAAUCGAGAUCCCGAUUUGUGAAGGUGGACAAACGGAAACGGCGGCCAAAACUCGUGACCUAGCUGGACAAACGGCAGCUGAUGAUGAAGAUGAAGAUGAACACGACGAAACGAUGAUGGGCAACGAUGAUGAUUUGUUGAAAAGAAGGGCUAAAGAGAGAGAGAGGAAAUGUCUGGGUUUGGUUUGGCUGCCGUGGCUGUGGAAGGGCAUUAGGGCAGAUUUUUUCUAAUUUUUUUUAUUUUAAAAUGAUUUAAAAAUUAAUAUUAAAAUAAUUAUCCGGGUCCGGGUUCCGGAUAUACAGGUUUACCCAAAUCCGGAACCGGACCCGGAAACGUCCGGGUUGAAAAUAUUAAAUCCGGAUACCGAAUUUUAUUCACUCCGGUACGGGUUGAAUCUGCCCCGGAUUUUCCAGGUUCAUCCAGGUCCAGGCCGGGUCCGGGUUAAAUUGCCAUCCCUACUUACA
rnacentral:lncRNA from 1 species